rnacentral:other from 1 species
AACUUCCUGCCUGAUUCGUGAACGGGGCAAAAUAACCCUACAACCUUUAAAUCGGGAGCUUUGCUCCGGCAGUGGCGUGCAGACCUCCUCUCUUAUCAAGAGGGACGAAGGGAGCCAAAAGCUGUCGGGAGAGCACCCACCUGCUUUUUUAGUAGCAGGUUAUAUUAUGCUCUUACGGUCAGGCGGGUUUUUA